AUUGAACGCUGGCGGCAGGCUUAACACAUGCAAGUCGAGCGGGGUGAUGGUGCUUGCACUAUCACUUAGCGGCGGACGGGUGAGUAAUGCUUAGGAAUCUGCCUAUUAGUGGGGGACAACAUCUCGAAAGGGAUGCUAAUACCGCAUACGUCCUAAGGGAGAAAGCAGGGGAUCACUUGUGACCUUGCGCUAAUAGAUGAGCCUAAGUCGGAUUAGCUAGUUGGUGGGGUAAAGGCCUACCAAUGCGACGAUCUGUAGCGGGUCUGAGAGGAUCAUCCGCCACGCUGGGACUGAGACACGGCCCAGACUCCUACGGGAGGCAGCAGUGGGGAAUAUUGGACGAUGGGGGGAACCCUGAUCCAGCCAUGCCGCGUGUGUGAAGAAGGCCUUAUGGUUGUAAAGCACUUUAAGCGAGGAGGAGGCUCUUUUGGUUAAUACCCAAGAUGAGUGGACGUUACUCGCAGAAUAAGCACCGGCUAACUCUGUGCCAGCCGCCGCGGUAA
rnacentral:rRNA from 1 species